GUCCUGGCCCUAAACGUUGGGUACUAGGUAGCGGCCUUACAUGGGGUCGCUGCCGAAGCAAAAGUGUUAAGUACCCCGCCUGGGGAGUAUGGUCGCAAGGCUGAAACUCAAAGGAAUUGACGGGGGCUCACACAAGCGGUGGAGCAUGUGGCUUAAUUCGAGGCUACGCGAAGAACCUUAUCCUGGGCUUGACAUGUGCGAAAGCGUCAGGGGGUAGCUUCCCGGAAACGGGGAGUGACCGUAUCCAAUCGGGAACCUGACACAGGUGCUGCAUGGCUGUCGU
rnacentral:rRNA from 1 species